rnacentral:misc_RNA from 1 species
AACCUUAUGGACCUGCGGGCGUAUACCUGCGGAGGGAUCAUUACUGAGUGUAAAAACUCCCAAACCCAUUGUGAACAUACCACUGUUGCUUCGGCGGAUACGCCCCGGGCGCGCUCUUCACAGGGCGUGCCCCGGAACCAGGCGCCCGCCGGGGGACCGAAACUCUUGUUUUCUUAGGAUCUCUGAGUGUGAUUAUUAAAUAAAUCAAAACUUUUAACAAUGGAUCUCAGAUCGGAAGAG